rnacentral:rRNA from 1 species
UACGUAGGGGGCGAGCGUUGUCCGAAUUUACUGGGCGUAAAGCGCGCGUAGGCGGAUUUUUAAGUUGGGGGUGAAAUCCCGGGGCUCAACCCCGGAACUGCCUCCAAAACUGGAAGUCUUGAGGUAUGGAGAGGGAAGUGGAAUUCCUGGUGUAGCGGUGAAAUGCGUAGAUAUCAGGAGGAACACCCGUGGCGAAGGCGGCUUCCUGGCCAUAUCCUGACGCUGAGGUGCGAAAGCUAGGGGAG